UUUACACUACAUUUUAUGCUUGGCUAUAAUUUUGAAACAAAACAAAUAGGCAGCUGGUGGACAGGUAUCAACCAGGCAGCAAUCAGCUUCUAUCUUGAAAAGCCUGAUUCAGCUGUCAAGGAAUAAAACUGAACUGAGGGGGAAAGGAGCAUUUUUUCCCAGCAGGAAAAGAGAGGAACGCUGAAAUGAAGGAUUUUCUCCAAUUAUAGCACUCCUCAGGCAGCAAACCUACCUCUGGGUUUCCAGCAAACCUACCAGGCCUACAAACCAAACCAAUCAAGUAAUGUCAAGGUGUAUUUACUCUCCUAGUAACCUGCUGACCCAUUCCCUGUCUGUACCAUGCUAGUGGCUCACAAGGAUGCACCCCAAUGCUGUGUGCUGGGAAAGGGCACAGCUGUGAGCCCAGGUGGGGCAAGGUGACUGAAUGGCUCCCAACUCCCGCUCUCCAUCCAUCAUAGCAUGGAAAGGGGGUGCUGAAGAGGAGCCUGUGUUGGAUCAGUGGUGCUUGGGGACUGUGCCUGUCCUUUGUGCUGGCUGCUCUCAACGAGGCAGAAAAUUAAUUGUAAAGAGGAACUCACACACACCUGCCUGCAGCUGAAGAGCAGCUUGUGUCAGAGAUCACCUAGACUUGACUGCUGUCAAAUAUUGGCUGCAAGUGAGAUGGGUUUCCUGAAUGCUGUGUUUUACUUGGUGACAUAUCCUGAACCUUUGGGAAGAGCUUUUUCGAAUAAGCUUUUCUCAAGUUUUUUGCAGUUGUCUUUUUUUUUUUUCUUUCUUUCUUCUUAUAAAGAGUAUUAGGCUAUCACAGCAUUGGAAAUGCUGAUAAAUUGGUGUAAAAGUCUUGUCUGCUAUUCCUUUCCCUAUCUAAUGUUCAUCUCUGCACUGUCCUCAGAGCAUGUCCUGCCCACAGUUGCUCUGUUAACUUGUCCCUGCUCAUAACACCCUGCACAAAAACCACAACUGAGCGCUUUUUGGUCUGAUUAAAAUCAUGCUGUGCAAUAGGAAAUACAAAUUAGCUCUGGCCUUUGGGCUCCUGACAAGUUUCCAGUGCUGCUUUCAGCACCACGCAGAUUGUGUAACUCCAUCCGUGCGUCCUCCGUGUGGUGACGUCUCCCUCUCCGUCAUGAGCUGGGCUGGCUGCCACACAUCCAGGUUCAGCUGUUAAUACUUCAAGCAGCUUUUAGAACUGAAGGAGGAAGAGAGAUUGCCAGCAGCCUUGUGAAAUGCGGAAACCAGCUUUUUCUUGCUAGGAGACAGUGUGGGAAGGGGCAAAAAGAGUUUUUUUUCUAGGUAAUUCCCCAAAUCUUGAUGUUUGUGCAAAUACCUCCCUGUCUAAUGAGCAAUUGGGGAGCUCAGCAGCAGGACAGCCAAUGCUUCAGUACAGGAUUAACCUCUGAAGGAAGAGCACAGUAGCAUCUUAUACAAACUGUGGCUUAAGUUUGCCUGGCCAUGAAGCACACAGCACUUUCCUGCCUCCUCCAAGGAUUCAAGCCGGGCAACUAUGUUGCAUCAUUUCGGCAUUGCUAACAGAAGGGCUCAGGCAGCAGCUACCGUGUCAUGUCUUCAACAGAAACCUUUAAGUCUCGGCAACUUCCUCUGAGGAUGCUGAAGCAAACACUGUCCAGACCUGCAAGUGAACAAGUUGCAAAUGACAUCUCUGGUUCGAAAUGGUGCGUGGGCGCGACGUGGGCGAAUGUUCCCUGCCCUGGGUGUUUUCUAAAGGUCUCUGAAGCAUGAGGCAUGACUGAAUGACUUGUGUUUUCUUUAAAUGACGAGUGGGUGAAUCUUGAAUCAUUGGUCUGCUUUUAUUUUUGUUAGAUGUGUGUGGGCUGACAACAUGACUCAGUAUUUUCUCUGCAGAUGCAAAGAUCGUACUGCCAAUUCUCGGUAUGCUUCAGACAGUUUCACACAGAGAACUGGAAUGCUUUUUCAGUCCAGAGCUUUGCUUUUCGGCAGUCUUAAGCCUCUUGAUGUGAAAAUAAAUAAGUAAUUUUAAAAAUGAGUGCUUUGCCAGAAUCUGCAAAAAUACACCGAAGAAAUGGCCAAACAUGGGGAAAGUACCUCUACCUCAAUGUUUCCCCAAUAAUUUGUCUGAUUUUUUUCACGUUAUUCUGGAAGUGGCCAUUAACAUUUGAUUUCUCUUUGUGAUUCUCCCUAGCCUCAGUUGCUGCUGGGCCAUCUCUCUGUCUGCUGAGUAUAAUCUCUGGUGUUUAUUUAACCACCCUUGCCCUUCUGGGUGAGAGCCACCAUCCUUGGACUGAUGGCUGUGAGUUCUCCCCUCCUCUCAAGAGACAAAUAGGCAUAUUUGUGGGUACCUGUAUGUGGUUCAGACAGAAGUUCCAGAAAAUGUUCCUUUCUCCCUUCUGGCAACCUCCCUACCUUGCUCCCCCUUCUUUAUCCUUCCUUUAUGCCAUGUACAGCAUAUGGCACGUGCUUUGGGAGAUAUGCAAGGCCAGGCAUGGGCUUUGGAUGCUUUUAUUGUGCAAUGGUGAGUGCUCUCUUCUCCCAUAUCCUCUUUGCUGAUGUGCAGUGUGCUGGUAGUCACGUCCUUGAUAAGAAUGGCUUUCUUGCUAAGACCCUCAUCUGUAAUCAUAGCCCAGCAUCUUACUGCCAGCAAUAAACCGUUUUUCCCUGCUGAUAGCAGCCCUCAGCCCACCCUGGACCUUGCUGAAGACUUGUGAAUGGCUAGAGAAUAACAGACUAGUGGAUGGAGGAUGUCGCAGAGCAAGGGUUGUCUAUGAAGACGAUGUGACUAUAGAUUUGCUCUGUAGAGCAUGCAGGGUGAAAUGAAUUCUGUACACUCUGUUUAUUUGAUUGCUAACUUCUACCACAGAAGAAUUUUCACACUCAACCCCUAGCAAUGUCCUUGGCUAAUGUGACCUGUACUUAGCAGCAGGACCCAAACCCCACUAUGAUCCUGACUCUGUACUGACCCAUACAACAGUGAGCCAUACCUGGCCCAUAUAUGCACAAGCAUGUAUUAUAGUGCUAGGGAACUGUAUCAUCUUUCUAUCAUUCUAGUUGCUCAGUCCUAAGAUUUACUCCCUAUUCCUGGCAUUUUCUCUACCUUCCACUGCCUACCCAUGGCAAUCUUUCACCCUAAGCUUAAGGCUGAGCACAUCCACCAUCCCUACAAACUUCACGGAAAGCCACCUGAUGUGACUGGCUCAAGUGCUUUUGCAGCUGUAUCUCAUAAUGACAAGAACUGGGUACCAGGCCUUAUAAUUUCUCCACAAUCCUCACAUUAUUCAGGAAUAAUCCUACAAUUUAAGUUCUUUUUACUUCACAGCCUAAUUCCAGCCUUAAGCACAAGCUAUCAGCCAGCACUCCUUGAAACAUGAGCAGAAGCAUUCUGCUUUACUGAGUACCAGCACUCAGGCUUGCCCUGAGGAGGAAAGAGGUGGUGCUCUUUAGUCCUCAGAAUCCCAAUCCCUAACCUUGACUUUAGUGUCUGAAGACCUGAUGCUCUUUAUCUCUGUACCUCUGAGUUCCAGAGCCACUCACCCCUGCCAGCCCCAGCCAUGUGUUUCUAAGGUGUUGGCUAGAGUCCAGGCAUGGGGAUGGAGGCAUCCACUGGGACUUGCUGGGUUUAGGGGCUGGAAGUUCUGUUUGUCAGAAGUUGUGCUUGGUGGGGCAGGGCACGUAUGGUGGAGUUUAGGGUGGAAAGAUUAUGGCUGGGCACAGCUGUAAGGAUCAACUGGCUUACUCCAGCUGCUGAGGGGAUAGUAGGCUGGGUGCAACCCAGAGCAUGGGGCGAGGGGGAGUGUGACAGUGUCUGUACAUCAGACAGACACUGAUGGUGUGUUCCACUGAUCACUCUCCUUUCUUAAGAAAGGCUUCUUUGCUCCUGCCUGCUUACUUCUCACUAUGAGCUUUACUUUGCACUCUUAAGAUCACAACUUCCUUUUUUCAGAAAAAAAAAUAAAUCUUUUUUCCUGUAAUCAAGGCCUGUGAAGGGAAGCACCCACAGGGUGCUGAGAUCAGCCUGCUGCCUCAUUCUUUGCUCUCUCAUGGGUGGGCAGCUUUCUUGUGUGUCAAGUGAAAACUUCCUCACCCAACCCCGUAGUGCUGGACUCACCCUGAGCCAAGCCAGGUCUCCUCCCACGUCCCUCACGUUAGGCAGCCUCACCCCAUCUCUUACAGGAAUACCCAACCUACACAACGUGUGCCUUACCGAGGCUCUCUUGUUUGCAGACACCUCCUGAAACACAACACAUGUGCAUUUUUAUGGCCAAUUUGGACAAAGUCAUCCCUCCAGAUGGUAACUGCAACUUCUAGAUAAGACCUGACAUGUGACAACCUAAGCAACACCAAAUUGAGGAGGGAAGGAAGGAAUUGUUCAUUUUCAGAUGCCAGCGUGGCUACAUAUACUGACACUGUUGCACAAACACAAACAAUUUUAUCUGGAACAGUUGCCUCUUGGUAGUUGUUCCAUUACCUGUAAUUGAUUAUGCCAGAGCUUGCAGCCUCUAUGAUCAGAAAGCAACUUCCUCUGUGUGUUUUCGAAUCAGAUUAAUAAAGGGAAACAAUAUUUCUACUGA